rnacentral:rRNA from 1 species
UACGUAGGGCGCAAGCGUUAUCCGGAAUUAUUGGGCGUAAAGAGCUCGUAGGCGGUUUGUCGCGUCUGCCGUGAAAGUCCGGGGCUCAACUCCGGAUCUGCGGUGGGUACGGGCAGACUAGAGUGAUGUAGGGGAGACUGGAAUUCCUGGUGUAGCGGUGAAAUGCGCAGAUAUCAGGAGGAACACCGAUGGCGAAGGCAGGUCUCUGGGCAUUAACUGACGCUGAGGAGCGAAAAGCAUGGGGAGCGAACAGGG